rnacentral:lncRNA from 1 species
UUUUUCCCAGGUUUGUAAUUCUGAUCUACAAGUUAAGGGUGCUAUCUUUUUAGAAUGAAUACCUCCAUUAGUGGAAAGGGAACCUCAGGUUUACUAGCUAUGCAUAUUUAGCAAUGAUGUUAUGUCAUGUGGUGGUUAAUACAGGGAUACUAAGAAUAGAUGUCUUUUUAGGUAUAUGACAUGAUUGAACCUGGAGGGGAUUGGAGAUCUCAGAGAGAAACUCCUGGAAGUUCUGGUGAAGCUGAGGGAGGAUCAGUGGGAAGUUGAAGAGUUGGAAGCUGAUGUCAGAGAAAAGAGAACUUCCUGGAAGGAUAUGAAUGGCUUCAUGGAAAAAUAUAUGAGGGAGACCAGAGAUGGUCCUUCUGUGC